rnacentral:rRNA from 1 species
AUUGAACGCUGGCGGCAGGCUUAACACAUGCAAGUCGAGCGAGCGGCGGACGGGUGAGUAAUGUCUGGGAAACUGCCUGAUGGAGGGGGAUAACUACUGGAAACGGUAGCUAAUACCGCAUACCAUCAGAUGUGCCCAGAUGGGAUUAGCUAGUAGGUGGGGUAAUGGCUCACCUAGGCGACGAUCCCUAGCUGGUCUGCGAGGAUGACCAGCCACACUGGAACGGGGACCAGGGCCAGACUCCUACGGGAGGCAGCAGUGGGGAAUAUUGGACAAGGGGCGCAAGCCUGAUGCAGCCAUGCCGCGGGUGUGAAGAAGGCCUUCGGGUUGUAAAGCACUUUCAGCGGGGAAGCGGUACUCGCAGAAGAAGCACCGGCUAACUACGUGCCAGCAGCCGCGGUAAUUC